UUUAUAUAAAUGUGAGUGAAACUGAAAGUCUUUGGAGUGUUUUUAAGCUGGUGAAUAAUGUGAUUUGAUUCUCACUUUUGAAAGACCACAUUAACUACUGUGUGGGAACAGAUUAUAGAGAGAUGAGGUGAAAGCAAAUAAAGAAGUUAGAAGGUAAUUGUAGGAAUUUGAGAAAGAGAUGAAAAGUGGCUGCAGUUAAGGAGAGAAAUGGAUAGACUAAAGUUAUACUUCGGUAGUGGAAUUGAUAGAAUGUUCUUAUGUGUUCCUUGUGAGGCAUAUUCCUUUGUUAGAUUUUUAGGUUAAUUAGAAAAAUUUUCAGGUUAAUUAGAAAAAUAAGAGUUUGGGUUAAUUUGGUUUUAUUUAUGGAGAGGGAUAAGACAGAGAAGACAUAGAUUUUUCUGGCAAAGAUCAAGAAUUCUCUUUUUGGGGUCAUCAAUGUAGAUUGUUUUUAAAUAGUGAGUUUGGAUAAGGUAAGCAUAGAGGAGUGUAGCUUGAGAAGACAGGAGAUGAUAGAAGGGGUGAGGAGAGCUGGGAAGGUAGGCUUGGCUCUGGACAGUACAGUGGGGGCCUCCUAUGAUUAGACAUAUGCAGAUGACAAGCAAAAAGCAAGGGCAACUUGGAAAAGCAACUAGUGAAGAGGAAGAAAAUAUUGAGAAAGAUGUUUUAUGGAAACCAAGAAAUAAAACAUUUCUGGAAGGAAGAAAAAUAAUGGUGAGAAUUUCCAGGAAGAAGUGACCAUCAAAUUUGGCACUGAUGAGACCAUUGGUAACUUCUAUAAAAGUAAUUUAAUAGGGUGAGGAGGAGGGGAUCCCAGCUGGAUUAAGAUGAAAACAGGAGAUAAAAAAGUGGAAAUAGACCCUUUUCACAAGAUGGCGCCGAAAGCGAAGAAGGAAGCUCCUGCCCCUCCUAAAGCCGAAGCCAAAGCGAAGGCUUUAAAGGCCAAGAAGGCAGUGUUGAAAGGUGUCCACAGCCACAAAAAAAAGAAGAUCCGCACGUCACCCACCUUCCGGCGGCCCAAGACACUGCGACUCCGGAGGCAGCCCAAAUAUCCUCGGAAGAGCGCCCCCAGGAGAAACAAACUGGACCACUAUGCUAUCAUCAAGUUUCCGCUGACCACUGAGUCUGCCAUGAAGAAGAUAGAAGACAAUAACACACUUGUGUUCAUUGUGGAUGUUAAAGCCAACAAGCACCAGAUCAAACAGGCUGUGAAGAAGCUCUAUGACAUUGAUGUGGCCAAGGUCAACACCCUGAUUCGGCCUGAUGGAGAGAAGAAGGCAUAUGUUCGACUGGCUCCUGAUUACGAUGCUUUGGAUGUUGCCAACAAAAUUGGGAUCAUCUAAACUGAGUCCAGCUGGCUAAUUCUAAAUAUAUGUAUAUCUUUUCAC